rnacentral:lncRNA from 1 species
GAUGUACCAGUCUGCAAUCCCACCAACAAUGGAGGAAUGUUCCUCUUUCUCCACAUCCUCCCCAGCAUCUGUUGUUUCCUGAGUUUUUGAUCUUAGGCAUCCUGACUGGUGUGAGGUGGAAUCUCAGGGUUGCUUUGAAGAGCAUUUCCCUGAUGACUAAGGAUGUUGAACAUUUCUUUAGGUGCUUCUCAGUCACUAGAUAUUUCUCAGCUGAGAAUUCUUUGUUUAGUUCUCUACCUCAUUUUUAAUAGGGUUAUUUGGCUCUCUGGAGUCUAACUUCUUGAAUUCUUUGUAGAUUUUGGAUAUUAGCCCUCUAUCAGAUGCAGAUUGGUAAAGAUCUUUUCCCCACCUCUUGGUUAAGGUUUUUUUUUUUUCCCUAAUGACAGUGUCCUUUGCCUUACAGAAGAUUUGCAAUUUUAUGAGGUCCCAUUUGUCAAAUAUAGAUCUUAGAGCAUAAACCAUUGGUGUUUUGUUCAGUAAUUUUUUUUCUAUUACUCAUGUGAUCGAGAUUCUUCCCCACUUUUACUUCUAUUAGUUUGAAUGUAUCUGGUUUGAUAUGGACGUCCUUGAUCCACUUGGACUUAGCUUUGUAC